AUGGGGAUGGCCAUUCCCGCCCCAAUGACGCCGGCCGAUGUCAGUGAGAGUAUCACCACCGACAACGGCUCCAACGAGCUCUCCAUGAGCUCCUGGGACGACACCAACUCCAACAUCAUGUUCUUCGCGCCUGGAAGCAAGAAGGCCAAGGUGCUCAUCAAUGGUGACAACGGCAUGGUCACCAACUUCAGCAAAAUCAAAUCCCAAUUUGGCCUGUCGAGCACGUCUUUGGACAUGCCCGGCAUGGACGGCUACUUGCAGCCGCAGCAGGACUUCGUCGCCUGCAUAGUCUUGAGACAAGCGUGUCUGCGCCACUCACCCGUGAAGCAUCACUAA
rnacentral:rRNA from 1 species